UGCAUUUGGGAGAAAGCAGCGAUCCUCUCCUUUCAAGUGGUAGAGGCACUUUUGUUAACCUUUUCCAGGAGGAAGUGACAACUGUAUGAAAUGAAAAAGUGCGGAAAGGGCAAGUGUUCAAUUUGCUGAUUUAUUUCAAGUAAAAAUGGUAGAUACCGGCAAGAGCAGUCCUAGUACACUGAUGAACCAACCAUUCACAUUCUGGUGAAAUAAAACACUCCUGUGUCUCAUGAUGGAAAGCAUGAAUGCUAAAGGAACUCAGCAAUGAAUAAAUGGCUGUCAGUCACCUCUUUUUUUGCAACUGCUAAUCUCCUACUCUGAUCCAAGAAUAUAAACAUAUUCCGCAAAGAGUAAGAUUCUUACAAGUACUGAGCAAUUCUUCCAGAUAGAACUCUUGUAUCUUCCUCUUUGGGCUUCAUUCUCAGUGUUUUCACAGGGUACUUCAGAGACUGAGCAGCAGAUGUAAAUGAUUCCCCUGCCUUUUCAUGGUAGUAGGAAACCUCACCAAGAGACUCUGAAGUCAGAAAUAAAACACAGUUUCUUCUACUUCAUAACAUCUGGAUUGAAGUUUCCAGAUAAAUCCUAUGAUUAAGCAGAGAAGCCAGCCAUUGUAUCAUUUCUACUGUUUCAGUUCAUCACCCCUAAAUCACAGCAUACCUCCUGCUGGAUCUUCUUUGUGACACAUUACUUUCAUUUCAAAAGACAGUCUAAUAUGCUACCUACCACAGGACACUUUAAUUGGUUGGGCUUGAAAUGGAUAGAAGGGAGCAAGGCAAUACAUCUAAGCUGUCACUCAUCUCUAAGAUGUAAAGAUGUUGUUGUUGCUUAAAUGGUAGAUAUUCCCUCACAGGGGCCAUUAGACUACCUUUUACGCCAGAUCAGGAACUGAAUUAUGCACGUGAAGUUCAUAUUCACCCCAAAUCUCCCACAAGCGAAUUGGAGACUUGCACAACCAUUUCGGGGCAAAUGCCCCUUAGCGCACAUCAUUUGAAAUUGGGGUAAAAGCUGUAUCUUUUGGGGAAAAAAUAGG